rnacentral:lncRNA from 1 species
UGCAGAUAAAAGAUUUCUUGGCGAAAAUUAAUUCGGCCUUAUCGCGGUAUUAUUAUAGACCUAGCUUCAUUUAAAAAUGGUGCUUUUCUCUUAGAUAUUUAGGGUUUGUUGUCUGCAGUGUUUGGCAAAGAAUGGCACUAAACACGAGUAGUUGGCUACACUUUAAGCCGUCAUUCUAUAAACAUAAAAGUAUUCCUCCAGAGAUAAGUCGACACUUACACCUCUUACCUUCCACUUUAACGUUAGCAAAUAUGCGGGGCCACAUUAUUAAGCGUUUUCGUUUUAUGAAUGAAUGGAUAUUUUGAACGAUCAGAAUAUGAAAAACAAAAGAGAACACGCUAUGAUGGUGCUAAUUUUUUUAAUUUUAAAUAUGUGAUAGGUAUUUUAAAUUAAAAACAAAUUAUCAGAAAAGACCCGCGAAAUUUAAACAUAAUUUCUUUAAAUUGUGUUCCUUAAAUUUACAGAACGAUUUUUAACUAAAGUUAAUGUAUUUUAUCUGUAUUAUUUUGAAAGAUAUUGUUUAUGGUACACUGGCAGAGUUGGGCGAUCUGUUGACGAAAUCUUAGCAAAUUGGCUUUUUCCAACGUUGGGAGAUGGCUGGAAAACAUUUUAUAUGUUUUUUUCCGGAUCAGGAAGCGAAAAACGAAAGAAAUCCCGGAAUUGCAACGAAAGAAUGUAGAAAAGGUAGAUGGUUCCGCGGGGUCGAUAACGGGGUCACGCUAAGAACGGUUUACUACAUCCUUUCCUCCCUCGGGCAUUGUAUUCCUAAAUACGAAAUAUAUGAUUAUUGGCUGUAUAGUCUCUCUUAAAAACAUUUCACUACCAGUUAACAUUAAGUGAAACCUGUAACAUAAAUUUAUCCGUCGAACAACAUUCAACCUGGAAAAAGUCUGUAUCUAGGUAAAAUGUUUAAAUUAAAUCGCUGUUUGCCAAACGCUGCUUUUAUUUUUUUCUUUCUUUCUGUAAGGACACAGAUUGCCCGUGGA